GCGGUUGAAGUCGUGGACGGAGCCCGACUCCCGUGGGAGUUUGGGUGGAGUCUUCCUACAAUUAAAGUCAGGUGCGAAGUCCGGCUCCCGUAGGAGUCCAGACGGAGCUUACCAGCAGUUGAAGUUGGCGACGGAGCCCGACUCCCGUAGGAGUCUGGGCGGAGUCCUCCUUGUGGUUGAAGUCAUAGACGGAGUCCGGCUCCCGUGGGAGUCCGGGUGGA
rnacentral:lncRNA from 1 species